rnacentral:rRNA from 1 species
CAUCGCCUCUUGCAUAUAUAAGAGGUCCAGCCUGCCCAGUGACUUUGUUCAACGGCCGCGGUAUCCUAACCGUGCGAAGGUAGCGUAAUCACUUGUUCUUUAAAUGAGGACUAGUAUGAAAGGCAUCACGAGGGUUAUACUGUCUCCUUUUUCUAAUCAGUGAAACUAAUUUUCCCGUGAAGAAGCGGGAAUAAUAUUAUAAGACGAGAAGACCCUAUGGAGCUUUAAAUGAUAAUAACAAUUGCUACUCAUAACUUACUUCAGAAAAUUAAACUAUAUCUUAGCACCAUGAUUAUUAAUUUUAGGUUGGGGUGACCGCGGAGAAUAAAAUAUCCUCCAUAUUGAAAUAGAACCUUAAUUCUAAGCAAAAAGCUACAACUUUAUGCAUCAAAAAAUUGACAUCAAUUGACCCAAUAUUUUGACCAACGAACCAAGUUAC